CUUCAAGAAAAAAAGAAAAUUUACUUCAAAACUUAUGAGAAAUGAAAGAAAACAAAACAAUUCUUAAACCAGCAUUUGUUGCACUCAGGUGGGAAUGUCAGCUCCCUCCGUAAGGGAUGCCCAGGUUGCAUUUUUCCUGCCAAGGGAAUGGCAGAGCCAAGGCAAAGACAUUCCAUUGAGCAAACCCACUAAUUUAUUUAUUUAUUUUUUUAAAAUUAAGAUAGAGCUGGGUAGUAAGGAACACAAAGCUUAGAAUCCCUUUCUCACCCCAAGGUCUACUCCACCCCUCAUUCCCAGCUGCUCUCCCUGCCCAAGCAGCACAGGGGCACUGGGGCAAGGCCCAGCACACAGCAGUACCUGUUUGCAGCUCCUUUCUCAUCAGGGUUCUGCACUGACUCCUUCCCCCAGGGCCCAGCUCCCUGGGAUAAAGCUGUUUCUGACAUGGGCUCCCCUUCACCAAGAGGAAUCCCUGCUGCAACACCCCUACUUAUCCCUCCAAGUGCUCCCAGCCACCACCAUGCUCAGAGGACGAAGAAAGCGUGAAUGUUGAUGUAGCAAGACCCAAAUGUGGCUUGCAGGGAGAAAGGGACAACAGAAAACCACUGAAGAGGAGUCAGUUGUUCACAGUGGUCUUCCACAGGGGAAAGACAUCAAAUAUUUCAGAGCAGACCAAGGAUUUUUUCCUCAAUCAGAUAAAAGUUCCCAUGAGUGUUUGGAAGGUAAUUGAAAACCAGUCUUCUAACAAAUGUGGUGACUGCCCUAACUAG
rnacentral:lncRNA from 1 species